rnacentral:rRNA from 1 species
CAUAACGACUCUCGGCAACGGAUAUCUCGGCUCUCGCAUCGAUGAAGAACGUAGCAAAAUGCGAUACGUGGUGUGAAUUGCAGGAUCCCGUGAACCAUCGAGUUUUUGAACGCAAGUUGCGCCCGAAGCCUUUAGGCCGAGGGCACGCCUGCCUGGGCGUCACGC